UAAUACGGAGGGUGCAAGCGUUAUCCGGAUUCACUGGGUUUAAAGGGUGCGUAGGUGGCUUUAUAAGUCAGUGGUGAAAGCCCGGAGCUUAACUCCGGAACUGCCAUUGAUACUGUUUAGCUUGAAUCAACUUGAAGUGGAUGGAAUAUUACAUGUAGCGGUGAAAUGCUUAGAUAUGUAAUAGAACACCGAUUGCGAAGGCAGUUCACUAAGGUUGUAUUGACACUGAGGCACGAAAGCGUGGGGAUCAAACAGGAUUAGAUACCCUGGUAGUCCACGCCUUAAACGAUGUAAACUCGACAUUAGCGAUAUACUGUUAGUGUCCAAGCGAAAGCGUUAAGUUUACCACCUGGGAAGUACGUCCGCAAGGAUGAAACUUAAAGGAAUUGACGG
rnacentral:rRNA from 1 species